UACGAAGGGGGCUAGCGUUGCUCGGAAUUACUGGGCGUAAAGGGCGCGUAGGCGGAUGACUAAGUUGGGGGUGAAAGCCCGGAGCUCAACUCCGGAACUGCCUUUAAAACUGCAUCGCUUGAAUCCAGGAGAGGUGAGUGGAAUUCCGAGUGUAGAGGUGAAAUUCGUAGAUAUUCGGAAGAACACCAGUGGCGAAGGCGGCUCACUGGACUGGUAUUGACGCUGAGGUGCGAAAGCGUGGGGAGCAAACUGC
rnacentral:rRNA from 1 species